rnacentral:rRNA from 1 species
UGGGGAAUCUUGCGCAAUGGGCGAAAGCCUGACGCAGCGAUGCCGCGUGCGGGAUGAAGGCCUUCCGGUUGUAAACCGCUUUCAGCAGGGACGAAAUUGACGGUACCUGCAGAAGAAGCCCCGGCCAACUACGUGCCAGCAGCCGCGGUAAUACGUAGGGGCGAGCGUUGUCCGGAUUUAUUGGGCGUAAAGAGCGUGUAGGCGGUUUGGUAGGUCCGCUGUGAAAACUCGAGGCUCAACCUCGAGACGCCGGUGGAAACCAUCAAACUAGAGUCCGGAAGAGGAGAGUGGAAUUCCUGGUGUAGCGGUGAAAUGCGCAGAUAUCAGGAGGAACACCGAUGGCGAAGGCAGCUCGCUGGGACGGUACUGACGCUGAGACGCGAAAGCGUGGGGAGCGAACAGGAUUAGAUACC